UCUCUCUACCAUGCUCCCUCACGGUUUCCACAAUUCCCAGCAUUCAUACUGUGCUGGGAAUUGUGGGAACCACAAGGGAGCAUGGUAGACAU